UGGGUGUAUUUUGGCACCUGAAGUGAUGAUGGAGUGAAUGGUUCUCAGAGUUCCUGGCUGCACAAACACAGCACUGUAUCCUGCUAAUGUUUUAUUUCUCUGAGGAGGCAUCAGAGAAAUAACCUCUGGCUGCUUAUGAACACAACUGAUCUGCACACAUGGCAGGGCUUCCUUUGGUCAGCACAGCCAGGGCAGUGAGGGCCAGAGCAGCUCUGAGGCCAGGGACCAGCCAUUGGCAUGGAGGAGGGAGACCCCAUCUUUGUAAUUAACUUGGCAGCUUUGUUUUCUCAGAUUUUGGAGCCAGUAAAGCAGAGGUGACUCCAUCAGUUGGUUUCUACAGUCUCUGGAGCUGGUUAUUUGAGGAGGUUAGUGUCCUGGAGGUCUGUCACAAAACGAGCUGAGUGUGGAGGACCAGCUGGGAGAGCUGUUCCCACUCACACCAGUGCUGGCAGCACAGAGCUGAACUCCAGUAAAUAUCUUCAUUUUUAGUAGCUGUUCCCCAGUACUAAUUUUGCCAUAUGGGUCCUACCCCUAUAAUCAGGAUCUAUGAUUUUGCAUUUAUUUUUCGAGUAAAAUUAUGUUCUGUUUGAGUAUUUACAAAUUUUACUAUGAAUGAAAACAGUCCUAAAGCUGGCAUCAUGGACAUAAAGCACUUAAUAAAGGCUGCUGUUUGUUUUGCCAAAAUUCCUCAAUGUUUUUGCUAGUGGUGUGAUGGUACCAGAAAAUUUAAGAAAUGACAGCGAAGAAAUAUUUUUUGAAAGAAAGAAUUCUUUUUAUAAUUUAGAGACGGUUAAUUCCUUGUUUAUUGAUGGGGCUGUCACAUGUAUGUCCGUAGGUGUUCAUUUGUCAUUUGUAUCACUUAAUGGGGAUUUAGCACUUUAUAAUCAGUGAGAACAUUUCACUGCAAGUAUGAUGGUAUGAUGAGUUAAUUAAGUAUUCAUUGUAAUAACACUGAUAAUAACGAACUUAUUUUGUAUUCAUUUUUCAUGUGCAUAUGUUCUAUAUCUCCAUAAGAGUAGUAUUUUAAUUCAUCAAUGGAUAUCAGAAAUAAGCAUAAAAAUAAAAAACUGUCACCUAGGUCUUUUCUUCUACUUAAUAACAGCUUA